CCGAAUAGCUGCAUACUGUAGGUUUUGGUGCAUCGAAAAUGGCAUCUGCUGUUUCUGUAUGUGACGUGCAAUAUCUUUUUAGGUUUGGUUUUUAUUUUGAUGGGGGGAUUCCGGGUCCGGAGACACGCCCACUGCUGCUGAGCUGCGCAUCGACAUGGAGCACACCUGUGCCACAUAAUUAGUGCAGCAUGCUAGUGGCUUUAUAAAAAGCACAUUGGAGUGGGGCUGUUUAAUUUCUCUUCUGUGUGCAUCUUGUGUGGGCAGAAAAGGUAUUUUGGCUAUAUUUUCCUGUCGCUGUCCCCUGGUGCGGCCAAAGAGCGCUAGCUGCUGUUUCUAAUGGCUGUUUCUAGCUGCUGUUUCUAGCUUCCGUUUUAAGCUACCGUUUUAUUACGGCUAUUUUCUUAGUUGCUGUUCUGAUUAUUGCUGUUUGUUUUUAUGUAUAUUUUUCAGAGCUGUUUUAAACUUGACUUAUUAUUGGGUUACAGUCGGCAUAGUGCGGACGUUGCAGCGGUGAACACUAUCUUGAAUACUGGGAUGAUACGUCAGUACUGCAUUGCCGUAUAUUUAUUCUGAGUACAAGUUUAUCGAAUUAACCGGUUUUGUAUUUCUUUCUUUCAAACCGUUUUGGUGCUCUUUAAAUUAAUCUGUUUUUACCGGUUAUCACUGGACUGUCAUUUGUAUUUUUUUCUUUCUUUUCUUUUGCGUCUUUUGUUUGUCUGUUUACCGCAUAUAUAUCCACCUCUGACUAUCGGACAACGAACUGUGAUUAGUGAGGCUUAACAGAGGGAUUGUUUGUCGUCCUUUUCUUUAUCCCUUUUUUCUUGGUUUAUCAGUGUUUAUUAUGCACUGCUUUGUGUGGUGUGUCCCUCUUUGUUAAGGCGGACCUAGUCUAGUUUGUUUUCUCCAUUGUUGGUAACUAAUCGGUAAACUGUACACUUGUAUCUUAAAUGGUUUUAAGAGCAAAUGGUUUUCCUUUUUCUUGUUUUUGUAAAAUAAAGUUGUAUUCAUUUUUUUGGAAA